UCCCUGGCGGUCCAGUGGUUAGGACUCGGCACUUGCACUGCCGUGGGCCUGGGUUCAACCCCUUGUCAGGGAA